rnacentral:rRNA from 1 species
UACAGAGGUGGCAAGCGUUGUUCGGAAUUACUGGGCGUAAAGGGCGCGUAGGCGGCCUUCUAAGUCAGACGUGAAAUCCCCCGGCUUAACCUGGGAACUGCGUCUGAUACUGGGAGGCUAGAGUGCGGGAGAGGGGUGGAAUUCCAGGUGUAGCAGUGAAAUGCGUAGAGAUCUGGAGGAACACCGAUGGCGAAGGCAGCCCCCUGGGCUAACACUGACGCUCAUGCACGAAAGCGUGGGGAGCAAACAGG